GGAUGCUCUGCAAUACUAUCUCCGUACCAUCACCAGGGUUGAUUUGGUUGACCUGGCUGGUUAGGUGGGUACUCCUUCACUCAAAGUUCCAUAUGCAUCCCUCCCAAAGCUACAUAUGUGGUAGAAGAUCAUUUUCUCUGGUAGAAUCUAUUCUUUGGUCAAGAGUUUAUUAGUAACCAUGUUCCCCUGCUAGAACCUCCAAAGAGCUCUCCAGGCAAAUGGAGAUGUUCCAUCACUAUUGGAUUCUAAUGUUCCAGGAACCCCUCA
ensembl:misc_RNA 7SK 7SK RNA